rnacentral:tRNA from 1 species
CAGAGAAUAAUUUAAUAUAAAAUGAUAAUUUUGGAUAUUAUUAAUAAAGAUUUUUCUUUUUCUUUGA